GAGAGAGAGAGAGAGAGACAGGAAGAGAGACAGGAAGAGAGAGAGAAAGUGUGUGAGAGAGAGUGUAAUAGAGAGAAAGAGAUGCAAAAAGAAAGAAAAGGCUAGUGGAAGGUAGGAGGACACAAUCGACAUCACUAUCUGCUGAGAACAUUGGGUGACACAAGGAGAUGCUGGUCCUGUACUGAUUUAAUAUGCUACCAACAGCUGUUUGUAUGUUCUUCACUUCGCCAGAAGUCACAUAAGCCUAGAGGUGAGUGGGUGCUGUUUUCUAAGGACACAGGCAGGAUAAGCGCAGUGGACAGAGCUGUAUGGUGG